rnacentral:rRNA from 1 species
AGUAACGCGUGAGGAACCUGCCUUGAAGAGGGGGACAACAGUUGGAAACGACUGCUAAUACCGCAUGACGCAUAGGGGUCGCAUGAUUCUUAUGCCAAAGAUUUAUCGCUUCAAGAUGGCCUCGCGUCUGAUUAGCUAGUUGGCGGGGUAACGGCCCACCAAGGCGACGAUCAGUAGCCGGACUGAGAGGUUGAACGGCCACAUUGGGACUGAGAUACGGCCCAG